UACGUAGGGGGCUAGCGUUGUCCGGAAUCAUUGGGCGUAAAGCGCGUGUAGGCGGCCCGGUAAGUCCGCUGUGAAAGUCGGGGGCUCAACCCUCGGAUGCCGGUGGAUACUGUCGGGCUCGAGUACGGAAGAGGCGAGUGGAAUUCCUGGUGUAGCGGUGAAAUGCGCAGAUAUCAGGAGGAACACCAAUUGCGAAGGCAGCUCGCUGGGACGUUACUGACGCUGAGGUGCGAAAGCGUGGGGAGCAAACAGG
rnacentral:rRNA from 1 species